rnacentral:rRNA from 1 species
GAUGAACGCUAGCGGCAGGCUUAAUACAUGCAAGUCGAGGGGCAGCAUGAUUGUAGCAAUACAAUUGAUGGCGACCGGCAAACGGGUGCGGAACACGUACACAACCUCCCAAUAAGUGGGGAAUAGCCCAGAGAAAUUUGGAUUAAUACCCCGUAACAUAACGAUGUGGCAUCACAUUGUUAUUAUAGAUUUUUCGCUUAUUGAUGGGUGUGCGGCUGAUUAGAUAGUUGGCGGGGUAACGGCCCACCAAGUCUACGAUCAGUAGCUGAUGUGAGAGCAUGAUCAGCCACACGGGCACUGAGACACGGGCCCGACUCCUACGGGAGGCAGCAGUAAGGAAUAUUGGACAAUGGACGCAAGUCUGAUCCAGCCAUGCCGCGUGAAGGAUUAAGGUCCUCUGGAUUGUAAGCUUCUUUUAUAAGGGACGAAAAAAGGCUUUUCUAAGUCGUCUGACGGUACCUUAUGAAUAAGCACCGGCUAGCUCCGUGCCAGCCGCCGCGGUAAGAC